rnacentral:rRNA from 1 species
AGUGGCGAACGGGUGAGUAACGCGUAGGAAUAUGCCUUGAAGAGGGGGAUAACCUGGGGAAACUCAGGCUAAUACCGCAUAAUAUCUAAGGAUGAAAGCUGGGGACCGAAAGGCCUGGCGCUUUAAGAGUAGCCUGCGUCCGAUUAGCUAGUUGGUGGGGUAAGAGCCCACCAAGGCGACGAUCGGUAGCUGGUCUGAGAGGAUGAUCAGCCACACUGGGACUGAGACACGGCCCAGACUCCUACGGGAGGCAGCAGUGGGGAAUAUUGGACAAUGGGGGCAACCCUGAUCCAGCAAUGCCGCGUGUGUGAAGAAGGCCUGAGGGUUGUAAAGCACUUUCAGUGGGGAGGAGGAUUGACAGGUUAAGAGCUAGUUAAUUGGACGUUACCCACAGAAGAAGCACCGGCUAACUCCGUGCCAGCAGCCGCGGUAAUACGGAGGGUGCGAGCGUUAAUCGGAAUUACUGGGCGUAAAGGGUGCGUAGGUUGUCUAUUAAGUUAUCUGUGAAAUCCCCGGGCUUAACCUGGGCAGGUCAGAUAAUACUGGUAGACUAGAGUAUGGGAGAGGGCAGUGGAAUUUCCGGUGUAGCGGUGAAAUGCGUAGAGAUCGGAAGGAACACCAGUGGCGAAGGCGGCUGCCUGGCCUAAUACUGACACUGAGGCACGAAAGCGUGGGUAGCAAACAGGAUUAGAUACCCUGGUAGUCCACGCUGA